rnacentral:rRNA from 1 species
UAGCAAUACACCAGUGGCGGACGGGUCAGUAAUGAAUCGCUAAUGUACCCCGGAGCCAGGGAUAGCUACCCGAAAGGGUAGGUAAUACCUGAUGAGACCACGGCAUCGCAUGAUGCAGUGCUCAAAGCCGCAAGGCACUCUGGGAGCAGGCGAUUUUGUAUCAGCUUGUUGGUGAGGUAACGGCUCACCAAGGCGACGACGCAUAGCCGGACUGAGAGGUUGGCCGGCGACAUUGGGACUGAGACACUGCCCAGACUCCUACGGGGGGCUGCAGUAACGAAUCUUCCGCAAUGCACGAAAGUGUGACGGAGCGACGCCGCGUGUAGGACGAAGCCCUUCGGG